ensembl:snRNA U6 U6 spliceosomal RNA
GUCCUCUCUUCGAUUGCACGUAUACUAAAAUUGGGACUACACAGAGAUUAAUUAGCAUGGCCCUUGUGCAAGGAUGACAUGCAAAUUCAUGAAGCGUUCCAUAUUUUC